rnacentral:misc_RNA from 1 species
CCACAUGUUAAAUGUGGAAACUUAAGACGAAACCAUGCACUGAGAGCUCCAGAGUACGAUAUUCCAAAAACAAACCAUGGAUUUUCCACAUUUGUUCUAUUGAGCUUCAAGUUUAGUGAUUCCUGAAAAUGCUGACGGAAAACAGCCAAGUCAAAAAGCGCCUGCUUGGAUGAAAGAUAUCUCAAAUUCUUUGUCUCAGUAGAUUUGAACGGUGUGCUUUUACCAUAAUAACGAUGCUCAAGUGAAACAAUGGCUGCUCCAAACUUUUUAGCCAAAACACUGAGGUAGUCAUUGGCUAUGCCAUUGCAUGAAGAUUCACCACAAAUUUUCAAAAAAAUGGGUCCAUCUGGAACUCUGAAAUACUCAAGAAAUUCAUAGUAUCGCUGCUUAAACUGACGGUGAUCAUGAGGAGAAUAGUGAUCGAGAAUCUGAUUGAA